AAAGGAGCUCUAAAGCUUGCUGCAUAGCACUGCAGCUGCCUGGAGAAUCAACAUUACCCAUGGAAACCUCUGCAGAAAGGUUUCUGCACUCAGCUGCCAUCCUCCAGCUGCAUCAGAAGAGAAGGCUCAAGGCUACUCAUGGCCUGAAAGAAAAAGAAGUUUUGUGAAAACCUUAAACUGGGCUUGACAGCAAGAGCGAGUGGAGCUCCCUGGAACUGCAAGGUUAUAGCAACAACCAUCAGUACAGACAUGCCUCAGUAUUUACAUGGGAUCAAGAUAUCAGCUGAAGUAUCAUGUUUUUAAAUUCCUUUGCAAGGGAAAAAACUGUGAUUGCAACAUCUAGGAUCAAAUUAUUACUUUCUUCUGGCUUACUUUGUCAGGUUACAGAUGACAUCACAUGACUAAUACUGGAGGAAAAAUGUCAUUUUAAUUUUAUGUUAAUUUGCAGGUUGGUGUUCCUAUGACAAAUUGGUACAUUAUCAAAAUUAAAAUAAUUUAAUUUUUCUUUUUCAUAUUUCAGGUAUUUCUGACACUGUUCUUUCCCAUCUUAGAGUAACAUAUGUAUUAUCAUUAACAUAUAUUCUACUUGUGAAAUAUAUUACAUGUGGCUGCUCUGUCUCUCACAUGGCAUUUCUUUGCUUGUGUUACAAAAAGUAGAGGCAGGGACUAUUACUACAUUAAAGCAGGCUAGAUCAUAAAUGUGAAGGUAUACUCACAGUUUUGCUUCACAUCUGCAUACUCAGGGAAAGUAAACAUGAAGGAGCUGCAAGUAGAACAAAAGCAAGUUCAGCCUUCCCUCUGGUAGGAAAAAAUCUGCUGGUGCAUUGGAUAUUGUGCAGAGCAAUGCAGAAUUUCCCCUCUGCACAUUACAGGAUCAAUUAUAGCUCACAGCAAAGCUGCAAGUCUAACAUCUUUAUGCAAGCUGAGAAUCAAAUGGUCAGAUUCUAGGAAGAUGGACACCUUGCUGAGAACUUCCUCAGAUUCACCCAGUGCUUCAAAAAAGGGGGAAAAAAAAGAAGAAAAAAAAAGAAAAGAAAAAAGAAAGAAUUAAAAAGAGAAAGGAAUCUUGGAAGUCCUCUUCUAGGGAGGACACAGCUUUCAAAGUGCACACAGUUUUCAUGAGCAUGACUGGGACUUAUUCUGUGUGGAAAAACACUGUAGUUCUUUUGAUUGUGCUGGCUGUAUUUUAGAGUACUGCUGUGCGGUUACUGCAAGGGGUGGUCAGAGUUCACAGUGUAGGUUCUAACAUGAAACAAAUGCAGGAUUAGCAAGGUGUUGUAUUUCCCACAGCAAUGAUAGUAUGUCCCUGACAAUACAUUUCAUAUUCCCAGGAGAGAAAGGUAAUGCUGGUCCCUGCAGUCAAGCUUAUGUAGUGAUAAUAAACAGUACUUAAAAACCUCACAGUUGCUGUUAAGGGUCCUCACAAAGGAUCAUUUGUAAAGAAACAAAAGACAGCUCUGCUGGACUUAUUUCCGGGAAGAAGUAACAAUUAGGUAACACUUACAUAAGAAUCAAUGUCUGGCUUUAGCUUUUCAAUGGUCUGAUUUGCUGCUCCAGCACCCUUCAGUACCUUUUGUAAACACAUCCUCCUGUGCACUUUUUGGCAACUUGCACUCCCCUGACCCACAGAGCUGUCUCGAUCCAGUCUGCAUUUAACAUCCCUUGCUAAACAGUUUUGAACACUAGUGGAGUAACGUCAAGUAAUAUUUGAGAAAUUUGCAGCAGAUGAUUGCAAGGAGCAAAGCUGUGAGCACUGAAAUGUUGACAAUAAGAGCAUGCAAGAUGCUUAUCUUUCUGAUUUACCACUUACCCUUAAUUAAACUAAAAAACCAAGGCAUCUUGGAUCUCCUCCCUGAACAUACAUACUGCAAUACAGCAAUUGUGUUGAUGGUCUGUACUAUUAAACACGGAUAAAAACGUUCAGAAGAGACAGAAUCUGUCUUUGACAAAUGUGAGGAGAGAUGGGGCAGGACACCACAGAGAACCACUGCAUCAGGGUUUCUGCAGCUCUAAUUUGAACAUGACUAUUUUUAGAAGACCUGUUGUACAUACCAACAACAUUAAUGACUGCCAGAUGAGACAACCAUGUUCCUAAAGCCAGUGACAUCAUCGCGGCUCUCAGGAUUUAACUAAAGCAUAUGUUUGGCAAAUAGUAAUAAAAAGUAACUAAUUCUUCUUGUUUU